UGGCCUGUGAUGAUAUCAUUCAACCAAAUUUACACCAUCUUUCGGGACUGAAUGGCCUUUUACAAGGCCUUGCUGUCAUUCUGCAAUUCUGAGGCCG